GCCCUUCUAAAAACUGUCCACUGAAUCUCAACACAGCUCUGUCUCCUUUGAAGAUUUCUCUCAGCAUUGUGCAACUAGAAAUUAAUACACAGAAAAGUAACAUCAAAUACCUUGACCCGAGUGAUUUAUCUCUUAAAAGCAGAACACUUGAAGUGAUAUUGAAAGAAGUGGGAGUCAUGCCUGGCUAUAAGGGGACUCAGAGUAGCUGGUUUCAAAUAAUUCAAGGAAAGGUAAUGCUAUGUUUGGAUUGUCUCGCAGGCAUAGAAG
ensembl:lncRNA